rnacentral:rRNA from 1 species
GAUGAACGCUGGCGGCGUGCCUAAUACUUGCAAGUCGAGCGAACAGACGAGGAGCUUGCUCCUCUGACGUUAGCGGCGGACGGGUGAGUAACACGUGGAUAACCUACCUAUAAGACUGGGAUAACUUCGGGAAACCGGAGCUAAUACCGGAUAAUAUAUUGAGCCGCAUGGUUCAAUAGUGAAAGACGGUUUUGCUGUCACUUAUAGAUGGAUCCGCGCCGCAUUAGCUAGUUGGUAAGGUAACGGCUUACCAAGGCAACGAUGCGUAGCCGACCUGAGAGGGUGAUCGGCCACACUGGAACUGAGACACGGUCCAGACUCCUACGGGAGGCAGCAGUAGGGAAUCUUCCGCAAUGGGCGAAAGCCUGACGGAGCAACGCCGCGUGAGUGAUGAAGGUCUUCGGAUCGUAAAACUCUGUUAUUAGGGAAGAACAAAUGUGUAAGUAACUAUGCGCGUCUUGACGGUACCUAAUCAGAAAGCCACGGCUAACUACGUG